UACGUAGGUGGCAAGCGUUGUCCGGAUUUACUGGGCGUAAAGAGCGCGCAGGCGGUCGUUCAAGUCGCGUGUGAAAGCCCCCGGCUCAACUGGGGAGGGUCACGCGAUACUGAUCGACUCGAAGGCAGGAGAGGGAAGUGGAAUUCCCGGUGUAGUGGUGAAAUGCGUAGAUAUCGGGAGGAACACCAGUGGCGAAGGCGGCAUCCUGGACCGGCAUUGACGCUGAUGAGCGAAAGCUAGGGGAGCAAACGGG
rnacentral:rRNA from 1 species